CCACCAGAUCCUCCCUGGAGGCCCUGAGGAGCAGACUUCAUGUCUCCAAACAACAACCACACUUUUCCUUGGUGUCUUCCUCCAGCAGUGCCCAGCCAGCUCCUCCUCCACCUCUCCUCACAACCUCCAUCCAGCUUGCAAUCCCCAACAUGGUCCUCAGACCCAGUCUGGAUGACAUUCAGGUAUUUCUGUGUCCAGCUGAGCAGAUUUGACCUUCAGUAACAUUUUGGAAGUUCUCAUGUGUUGGCAGGUCCACCGUCUGGUCUUACAGCAGGACGUCACACAGGACUGGCCUUGUAGUUCAUGUCAUGUUCAUGCACCUGUCAGUCACUGUUGUCAGUCACUGCUGUCAGUCACUGUUGUCAGUCACUGCUGUCAGUCACUGCUGUCAGUCACCCAGCCUGUGUGUCCUUCUCACGUCUCAGUCUGUGGUGAAUAAGCUGGUGGGCGUCGUGCUGUCUGUGACCAAAGACAUCCCUCUGUGGACUUACUCUCACCUGCAGUACAAACAGCAGCAGGUACGCUCAUCUGACUCAUCCUGCUUUAAAAUCACCUGAUAGCAGGCAGCCAGUCGCACUCCAGCUUCAUCCCGCCCCUCUUUCUGUUUCUCAGGUGGAGCAGGUGGCAGGUUGUAGUGGAGGAGAGGACGUGGCAGUGAAGCCAGUGGUGCUGCGAGCGCUGGACAGACAGCUGGCUGAACACAAAGACAUCAGCAGGUUGGUGAUGCAGCUCAGCUCCAUUGUGUCACACCUGAAGGCUCAGGCUGCCGAAACCCUGAAUGACCUCGGCCACUUCUCCACCCUGUGGAACCAGGACCCAGAGGAGCAGGUGCAGGCCUUCCUGCAGUCCGACCCCUCCCUGACAGAGUUCAGCGCUCAGAUCUGCUUCUACUCUGUGAGUCUACUUCCUGUUACAGACACACCACUGAACAUCGCCGUGCUUUUACAGCUUAUUAUAUUUUUAUCUGAGUUAUUAGUAAAAAAACACUUUGGUAAGGCAUCUGUUGGGGUCAUUAAAGGGCAGGUGGAGGAAAAAAACACAAAUGUCCUUUAUCGUGUAAUUCAUUGUUUUCUCAAUAAACACUGGACAGUCCUGCAGCUGCAGUUCAGUGCUGGUGCAGCAGGGGGCGCUGGUUAUUUUAUUUUUCCACAGAGCCAUCGUUGAUAACGUGUCAGAGCUGAAAGAAAAUGACCCUCACGUCCUUUAGAGCAGCUGAUUUUGACCAUACGUGUAGUGGAUUUACCCAUGAUGCCUUGCUGUGCCUGCAGAGGCUGGAGGUGCAGAUUUCGGAGCUACCUGCGUUUUACACAGCGGGUUCGAUCCUGUUGGACACCGACCAGCUGAAGCGUUCGCUCACUCACGAGUGUCACAACUGGAAACGAGCUUUUGGCGCCGCUCUGAACCGCCGAGCGUCCACCGACAUGAACGACAUCCUGUUGUUCGUGGACACACUCACGAAACGUCUGCAGCGUCCAAUCUCAGACCUGGAUGAUGUCAGAGCAGCCAUGGCUGCGCUCAGAGAGGUGAGCCAGCAUCUGAUUGGCUGUGUGUUACGUCUGCACCUCCUCUUUUUGUUUAAAUUCUUCUUUCAGCCCAGUAAUUGAAAAAUGAUCCAGUUUUUCUUUUAGAUUCUGAUUAAUUUAUUUGUUCAUAAACAUACAGCUGCUAAUGUCUGGCACUGCCAAAAUAAAUAUAUAAAAAUGAAAUUAGCCAA
rnacentral:lncRNA from 1 species